UUCCACUAAAAACAGUUUUGGCGAUCAAGCAGUUUUAAAAAUUAACCAAAUUAGAAUGAAUACCCCCAAACUCAGUGGCUUAAAACAACAGCACUCUAUUAUUUCUUAAAGUUUCUGUGUGUUGGAAAUUCAGAAAAGGAUUGGCUGGACAAGGCUUGGGAUCGCGCAUGCAUUUUCGAUAAUAUGAUUGCUGGGGUUGAAGAGCAGAUAUCUACUGUGUGCAGACCUGGAGACAUGGAGAGCCAACCGUAGCAUGUCACAGCAGCUGUGGAAGAAUG
rnacentral:lncRNA from 1 species